UACGUACGUACGAAGUUAGGGUACGUACUACUGGGCUCAGGAUGAACGCUAGCUACAGGCUAACACAUGCAAGUCGAGGGGCAGCAUGAACCAAGCUUGCUUGGUUGAUGGCGACCGGCGCACGGGUGAGUAACGCGUAUCCAACCUUCCCCCUGGUAGGGCAUAGCCCGGCGAAAGUCGGAUUAAUACCCUAUGUUAUCCGAAGAGGACAUCUGAUUUGGAUCAAAGAUUUAUCGCCAUGGGAUGGGGAUGCGUCCGAUUAGGUUGACGGCGGGUGACGGCCCACCGUGCCCGCGAUCGGUAGGGGUUCUGAGAGGAAGGUCCCCCACAUUGGAACUGAGACACGGUCCAAACUCCUACGGGAGGCAGCAGUGAGGAAUAUUGGUCAAUGGGCGUAAGCCUGAACCAGCCAAGUAAGCGUGCGGGACGACGGCCCUAUGGGUUGUAAACCGCUUUUGCAGGGGAAUAAAGUGUGGGACGUGUCCCAUUUUGCAUGUACCCUGAGAAUAAGGACCGGCUAAUUCCGUGCCAGCCGCCGC
rnacentral:rRNA from 1 species